rnacentral:rRNA from 1 species
UACAUGUGGGGCAAGCGUUGUUCGGAAUUAUUGGGCGUAAAGGGUAGGUAGGUGGUCUCAUUUGUCUGGGGUGAAAGCCUUGAGCUUAACUCAAGAAGUGCCCCAGAAACGGUGAGACUGGAGUCUUGGAGAGGGUCGUGGAAUUCCCGGUGUAGCGGUGAAAUGCGUAGAGAUCGGGAGGAACACCAGCGGCGAAGGCGGCGACCUGGACAAGCACUGACACUCAACUACGAAAGCGUGGGGAGCAAACAGG